AGUGAACGCUGGCGGUAGGCCUAACACAUGCAAGUCGAACGGCAGCACCGUAAGAGCUUGCUCUUACGGGUGGCGAGUGGCGGACGGGUGAGGAAUACAUCGGAAUCUACUUUUUCGUGGGGAUAACGUAGGGAAACUUACGCUAAUACCGCAUACGACCUACGGGUGAAAGCAGGGGAUCUUCGGACCUUGCGCGAUUGAAUGAGCCGAUGUCGGAUUAGCUAGUUGGCGGGGUAAAGGCCCACCAAGGCGACGAUCCGUAGCUGGUCUGAGAGGAUGAUCAGCCACACUGGAACUGAGACACGGUCCAGACUCCUACGGGAGGCAGCAGUGGGGAAUAUUGGACAAUGGGCGCAAGCCUGAUCCAGCCAUACCGCGUGGGUGAAGAAGGCCUUCGGGUUGUAAAGCCCUUUUGUUGGGAAAGAAAAGCAGCAGGUUAAUACCCCGCUGUUCUGACGGUACCCAAAGAAUAGGCACCGGCUAACUUCGUG
rnacentral:rRNA from 1 species